AGAACGAACGCUGGCGGCAUGCCUAACACAUGCAAGUCGAACGCUUCCGGGCUUCGGUCGCGGAGGAGUGGCGCACGGGUGAGUAGCGCGUGGGAACCUGCCCUGUUGUGGGGGAUAACCGAGGGAAACUUCGGCUAAUACCGCAUACGCCCCGGGACUUGGUCUUCGGAUUAGGUCUGGGGGGAAAGAUUGAUCGCAGCAGGAGGGGCCCGCGUCGGAUUAGCUGGUUGGUGGGGUAACGGCUCACCAAGGCGAUGAUCCGUAGC
rnacentral:rRNA from 1 species